rnacentral:rRNA from 1 species
UACGUAGGGUGCAAGCGUUAAUCGGAAUUACUGGGCGUAAAGCGUGCGCAGGCGGUUUUGUAAGCCAGAUGUGAAAUCCCCGGGCUUAACCUGGGAAUGGCAUUUGGGACUGCAAGGCUGGAGUGCGGCAGAGGAGACUGGAAUUCCUGGUGUAGCAGUGAAAUGCGUAGAGAUCGGGAGGAACACCAGUGGCGAAGGCGGCUACCUGGACCAGCACUGACACUGAGGCACGAAAGCGUGGGGAGCAAACAGG